CGGGCGAGUUGUUGGUCCCCACACAUUUUCCAACUCUAUUUUUAGUCGGAAAUCGGACCAGCAGAUGAUACGUCGAGACUAUCGCUCUGAAGGCGUUUAGUCCGGGUCUUCCAAGUAUGACGUUGUAAGCCAAAGACACUUGGACGACCGUGAAAGUUAAAUGGGCAGUGCUUUGUUGUGGCUCGGUUCCAGCCGUCAUAGGGAGGGUAAUUUUUCCUUCCACUGCGACGGCGUCUCCGGUGAAACCUACCAGGGGCGUAGAGACUU
rnacentral:lncRNA from 1 species